rnacentral:rRNA from 1 species
GAUGAACGCUGGCGGCGUGCCUAAUACAUGCAAGUCGAGCGAACGGACGAGAAGCUUGCUUCUCUGAUGUUAGCGGCGGACGGGUGAGUAACACGUGGAUAACCUACCUAUAAGACUGGGAUAACUUCGGGAAACCGGAGCUAAUACCGGAUGAUAUUUUGAACCGCAUGGUUCAAAAGUGAAAGACGGUCUUGCUGUCACUUAUAGAUGGAUCCGCGCUGCAUUAGCUAGUUGGUAAGGUAACGGCCUACCAAGGCAACGAGGCAUAGCCGACCUGAGAGGGUGAUCGGCCACACUGGAACUGAGACACGGUCCAGACUCCUACGGGAGGCAGCAGUAGGGAAUCUUCCGCAAUGGGCGAAAGCCUGACGGAGCAACGCCGCGUGAGUGAUGAAGGUCUUCGGAUCGUAAAACUCUGUUAUUAGGGAAGAACAUAUGUGUAAGUAACUGUGCACAUCUUGACGGUAACUAAUCAGAAAGCCACGGCUAACUACGUG